UACGUAGGGUGCAAGCGUUGUCCGGAAUUAUUGGGCGUAAAGAGCUCGUAGGCGGUUCGUCGCGUCGGCUGUGAAAACCCGGAGCUCAACUCCGGGCCUGCAGUCGAUACGGGCGGACUUGAGUGUUGCAGGGGAGACUGGAAUUCCUGGUGUAGCGGUGAAAUGCGCAGAUAUCAGGAGGAACACCGGUGGCGAAGGCGGGUCUCUGGGCAGCUACUGACGCUGAGGAGCGAAAGCGUGGGGAGCGAACAGG
rnacentral:rRNA from 1 species